rnacentral:lncRNA from 1 species
CUGACGCCUUCAGGCAAGUGAAGAAGCCAGCCCGCAGCAACUCUGCAGGGAAGAAUAUAGGGAAAUAAACGCCUUCAUCUCUCUCUUGUCCCACCCGCAGAGCUCCUUCUGGGAUUCUCUAUUGGCUGAACUCAGCCAGAAGCUGCCAAGGGAGACCCCCACAACUGGAUGCAGCCCACUGAAGUCAGCUUCCUGGGGUGCGUAGCUGAAGGUAGCAGGGAGCAAAAAGAAUCUGAAGGGGAAGUGAACAAUGUAGAGCGUAUCUGUGCUGAAGACGUAAGGAGAGAGUGGAGGUCAGAAGCUGGCAUGGUCCCUGGUGCAUGUAUCAGCCGCUAAAGCUGGAGUGGAUGAAUCAGAACUUUCCCCAUGGGAGCAUUUAUAAAAAGGGGACACCCAGCGCAGAAGAUGUUUUCCAGGGAGAUCUCGGGGAGCCCAACAAGCCAAGAAGAGCAGAGCAAAGCAUUCCAAGGAAGGACUCUAAGUCUGCAACCGAGCACACACGAGGGUAGCCUACGCAUGUACGUCUUGCAGUGAUGGCAAGGAGCAGGAGAAAGAAAGCCCAUCCAAACAAGCAUAUUGGAAGCCUAUGUAUCCCAUAAGCUGACAUCUUGUUGCCCAAAGCAUGUCAUGUGCGUGGUCCAGAGUCAGUGUUGAAGGGCUCUGCAAAAUCACAUGGUAAAGACUGUGGUUUCAGGGAGGAGUGAAGAUUUGUGCGCAUUGCUCCAAUUGACAACCAUGGCACUAGGCUCAGGCCACACUUCUUCCUAACAAGAGAGCAAGUCAAAGCGUGGUUAGUUAAAGUCCAUACAAAAACUCACUUUAACAGGCCUCCUCUGGAUUGAACAGCUGAUAUUAAGUCAUAAGGUACCACAUCAGAAAGAUACUGGGUAUCUUUGGUUCAGCAAUUCCAUCACCAGGGACUUUUUCAUCCUAAGGAAAUCACUGCACGGUGGACAAAGAUAUAUGCAUAAGGAUGCUCCUUCUGGCCAAAGACCAAAAACAUAACUGGCCAUCAGUAAAAGCCAAAAGCAAGACUGACCUCCUUGGAACAGACUUUCUGGACAAUUUGCUGGCAGAGGAAGAGACCACAAGAGGAAAAAAGUGGACUUCCUGGUAAUUUAGGGGUUUGAUUAACAAAUUUGAAUAUUUAAAAGAGAUGUUAUUUUCACUAAAGAAGAUAGCUAAAUGGUAAAUAAGCCUAUUCAACAUUAUUAGUCAUCAAAGAAAUUCAAGUUAAAACUACAAUGACAUAUCACCACACACCCUUGAAAAUGGCUAAAAUAAGGACUGAUAUUAUCAAGUGUUGGGGAAGAUGUGGAGCAACUAGAACUCUCAUACUCAAUUUGGGAGUGCAAAUUGGUUCAAUCUCUUUGGAAAACUGUUUAGCAGUAGCUACAAAAGCUGAAAGCAUAGACUGUGACCCAGUAAUUUCAUUUCUGGAUAUUACUACACAUAUAUACACAGGAAUGUUUAUAUAUUUCCACCAAAGUGCCUACGCAAGAAUAUUCAUAGCAGCACUAUCUGUAAUAGCCUAAAACUAGAAACUACCUAAAUGUCCAUCAACAGGUUAAAAAAAGAUAAAUUGUGGUAUGUUUCUAUAAUGCAUUGUUACUCAGAAAGAAGAAGGAUGAGGAGAAUGUAACAACAUGAAAGAAACUCACUGCCCUAAUAUUGAGCACAAGAAACCAGAAAUACAUACAGAAAAGUAUACCAUACUCAUUGUUCUAUUUAUAUGAAAUUCAAGAACUGGCUAAACUAAUCUAUGAUGACAGAAGUCAGAAUAUGAUUACUUUUGGAAGGAGGAGCAUUAACCAAAAUGGGACAUAAAGGAGGCUGUUGAGAUACCUGAAAUAUUCUUGUCAUAAUCUGGGUAGUGUUGUAUGGGUAUUGCCAUGUAUUAAAUUGUGUCUCCCCACACCUUCAAAUUCAUACUUUGAAGCCCUAUUCCCCAAUAUGGUUAUGUUUAAAACUAGGGCUUUUAGAAGGGAAUUAAGGUUAAAUGAGACCAUCGGUUCCCUGAUCCCAUAAGAUUAGCAUCCUUAUAAAAGAAACAGCAGAGUUUGUGCGCUCACUCUGUCUUUCACUCUCUGUUUCUCUGUCUGUCUCCCCCUCUCUCCCUCUCUUCCUCCUGCUCUCUGCAUGCAUAGCACAAGGAAAGACCAUGUGAAUACACAGCAAGAACGUGGUGCUCUGCAAGUCAGAAACAGACCCGUCAUCAGACACCAAAUCAGCCAGCACCUUGAUCUAGGAUUUCUGGCCUCCAAAACAGUGAGAAAAUAAAAUUCUGUUGUUUAAGCCAUGCAGCCUGUUGUAUUUCAUUAUGGCAGCCUGAGCAGAAUAAGACAGGUAUAUACAAAUGCAAAUUCUAUUAAGAAAUCUGUAUCUUUUACCCUAUUGAAG